GGUGGUGGCAAGGCCCAAGAGGUUAAGAGAGUUAAGUGUGCUAGGACGGGAGUAGUACUAGGAUGGGUGACCCCCUGGGAAGUUGGGGCGUCACAAUUA
rnacentral:rRNA from 1 species